rnacentral:rRNA from 1 species
AAAGGGAGAUUAAUACCGCAUAACAUUAGUUUUUCGCAUGGAGAACUAAUUAAAGGAGCAAUCCGCUUUGAGAUGGACCCGCGGCGCAUUAGCUAGUUGGUGAGGUAAAGGCUCACUAAGGCGACGAUGCGUAGCCGACCUGAGAGGGUGAUCGGCCACAUUGGAACUGAGACACGGUCCAGACUCCUACGGGAGGCAGCAGUGGGGAAUAUUGCACAAUGGGCGAAAGCCUGAUGCAGCAACGCCGCGUGAGUGAUGAAGGCCUUCGGGUUGUAAAGCUCUGUCUUUUGGGACGAUAAUGACGGUACCAAAGGAGGAAGCCACGGCUAACUACGUGCCAGCAGCCGCGGUAAUACGUAGGUGGCAAGCGUUGUCCGGAUUUACUGGGCGUAAAGGAUGCGUAGGCGGAUAUUUAAGUGAGAUGUGAAAUUCCCGAGCUUAACUUGGGAGCUGCAUUUCAAACUGGAUAUCUAGAGUGCGGGAGAGGAGAAUGGAAUUCCUAGUGUAGCGGUGAAAUGCGUAGAGAUUAGGAAGAACACCAGUGGCGAAGGCGAUUCUCUGGACCGUAACUGACGCUGAGGCAUGAAAGCGUGGGUAGCAAACAGGAUUAGAUACCCUGGUAGUCCACGCCGUAAACGAUGAGUACUAGGUGUAGGAGGGUCCAACCUUCUGUGCCGCAGUUAACACAAUAAGUACUCCGCCUGGGAAGUACGAUCGCAAGAUUAAAACUCAAAGGAAUUGACGGGGGCCCGCACAAGCAGCGGAGCAUGUGGUUUAAUUCGAAGCAACGCGAAGAACCUUACCUGGACUUGACAUCCCCUG